rnacentral:rRNA from 1 species
GACGAACGCUGGCGGCGUGCCUAAUACAUGCAAGUAGAACGCUGAAGGAGGAGCUUGCUUCUCUGGAUGAGUUGCGAACGGGUGAGUAACGCGUAGGUAACCUGCCUGGUAGCGGGGGAUAACUAUUGGAAACGAUAGCUAAUACCGCAUAAUAGUAGAUGUUGCAUGACAUUUGCUUAAAGGUGCAAUUGCAUCACUACCAGAUGGACCUGCGUUGUAUUAGCUAGUUGGUGGGGUAACGGCUCACCAAGGCGACGAUACAUAGCCGACCUGAGAGGGUGAUCGGCCACACUGGGACUGAGACACGGCCCAGACUCCUACGGGAGGCAGCAGUAGGGAAUCUUCGGCAAUAGACGGAAGUCUGACCGAGCAACGCCGCGUGAGUGAAGAAGGUUUUCGGAUCGUAAAGCUCUGUUGUAAGAGAAGAACGAGUGUGAGAGUGGAAAGUUCACACUGUGACGGUAUCUUACCAGAAAGGGACGGCUAACUACGUG